ensembl:lncRNA
UCAUGCAGAAUAUUUUAAAACUUUAAUAUACAGUGCUUCAUAAAUCAUUACUAAAAACACAGGUGGUAAAAAUCAAAACAAAUAAGUUACACUGUAGUAAAAAGCACUUGAGAUUCCUUUCUGUUUUCAUCAUUAGUGUGAACCUCAUAUGAAAAUAGCAUAGAAAGUAUGCAAACAUAGAAUUCCAUUCUUAUAUAGAUUUCUAAUCUUUAGCUAAAUAAACCUUUUGUCCCCUCAAAAUUCCCUUAACCGGCCAGAAGAAACAAGGAAAGCUCGUGGCCUCUACUUCACCCACAAGUCUGCUUUUAAGAAGCGGGAACACCUUUUUUCUGUUCAACAUCCCCCCUCCCUCCCCCGGCAUGAACCCAAAUAAAAAGAAAUAUAAAUUAACAUAUCAAACAUGUGAACAGUCUGCAAUUUCUUUUCUCCGCACUAACUGGUGUACAGUUAAACAUCUUACCUAUCAGCAGUCAGACACACACAGACACACGUUCUUUUAACACGGUGCCCCCCUGCCCCCCCCCCCCCCCCCCCCCCCCCACACACACACACACACACACACACGUGAACAGUUUGUGCAUAGACCCAGGUUUAACUUGUGGACUAACCAGUAAUUGGAGCCUUUUCUCCCCGCUCCCCCGAGCUCCCCCACUGUGGUUUGUCCUUUAAAGGAAAAUAACCCUUUAACCCAUUUGUUGCCAUGGCAACAGAAGCUGGCUCUGGGCUGAAGGGCUUAACACAGAUAUGCAGCGAUAGACAGAUCAAAACACACCGUCUCCGUGGUCCGAUUCGGCGCCUCGUAUCAGCAUAAAGUAAACAGAAAAUAGGCGACCACAGAUGCACGGCGUAGGGUUAAAACGAUUUCGAUAUCAGCCUUUGAUCAGCCACACUGUUAUACAAGUCAUUUAAAUAGCUUCCUUAUCACAGCUAUACCACUAACGUGCAUUUUAUUUUAUUUAUUUCUUUUGCACAUGUUUCCAUUUAAUUAUCAAAUGCAUUUGUAAGCUGAGUCACGCUGUCCUUUAGCUGCUGCUGCUGACGACGACGACCCCCUCCCCACAGCUAAGCUCUCAUUGGAGCGUGUUGGUGCCACAACAAUCCAUAUGCAGACUGAGACACUUUUCCAUGCUGACUAAAGAGAGACACUAUUCUUCUCUUCUGUCGCAUCAUGCUUCAAUUUAGAAACACCGAAUAUCAGCAACCAAGUGCAAGAACACGAGUUGAAUAACGGCACCGACAUUUGCCUGCAAAGAGAAAAAAAAUCAGGUACUGAAGUAGAGAAUGGGCCCUCCCUUUGUCCCUAUCUGUAUGUUUUAUAGUAAACAGUCUGUGUGAAGUGUUUAUAGUAAACUUAGGAGCAAACACUCGAGGGGAAUUUGUAUGACAGCGAUAAAACUCUGUAAAGUUCGAGCUUCCAUCUCUCUUAAUGCCUGUGUUUCAGCUUUUGCCAGUAAAUUAUUUACCAUCAUCAACAGUUUGUGGGGAGUGUAAAUAAUGAGCUGUGGCUGACAGGUUUAGCUAGAGGGCAUGUGUAAGAAAAAAUAAUAAUAAAAGAGCCAGAUUUAAGAAUCUGUGAGACAGACGAAGCAAAGAACUGCCUCUAAAAACCUACAAAAUAUGACAUUUUAGUCUGAACCAGCCACAAGAAGAAAUUUCCUUUUGUAUUCCGUCGGUAAUUAGAUGGAAGUAUGAGGAAAAAGCAUACUGAGGUAGAAAGUAUGUGCUAAAGGCCUACAAUAUUGGUUCAGUUAGCAGUGAGCAAAGUUUCUGCUGCUUCACCCAUUUGUUGAUGGAAGUAAAGAAUUUACUUACACAGGAUAACGACAAUUUUAGUUUGCUUGAGCCAGAUUGUACAAGCAAAAAUUUCCACUAUUAUCCAAACUAAUUUAAUUGAACUGUCUCGAGUUGGUCAUUGCCGUUUUCUGCUUCAAUGUGUGCAUCUGUAGAGACCUGCAGUUUCAACAGUCUGAGUCAAUGCUUCCCAUCAGUUACAGCGGUGCCAGUGAGGCAUCCGGAGCAGCUGGUUGUAAGCGUGAAGGAGAAGGUGGGAGGGGGCCGGGUGGGCUUGAACACUCAGGUAACAGGGGGUCAACUUGUUCUAUUGCACAUACAUCUCUGCCUUUUCUUCAUUUCAUGUUUCCAAAAGAAAUCUCACAGUUAUAAACAGGCAGCAAGUAGCAUUAUUGAGUUUUUUUGUUUAAAUUAAAAAAAAAAAAAUAAAAAACAGAAAAAAAAAAAAAAAAGAAAAAAAAAAGCUCUGGACAAAGAUGGGAAAAAGCGCUUAAUUAAACUGCAGCCAAUACCAG